UACAGAGGUCCCGAGCGUUGUUCGGAUUCAUUGGGCGUAAAGGGGUGCGUAGGCGGCGGGGCAAGUCUGAUGUGAAAUCCCGGGGCUACAACCCCGGAACUGCAUUGGAUACUGCCUUGCUUGAGUACUGGAGAGGAGACUGGGAAUUUACGGUGAGCAGUGAAAUGCGUAGAUAUCGUAAGGAAGGCCAGUGGCGAAGGCGAGUCUCUGGACAGUUACUGACGCUGAGGCACGAAGGCCAGGGGAGCAAACGGG
rnacentral:rRNA from 1 species